UCUGAUCGGUCUACCAUGCAGUCGAACGAUGAUCUCCAGCUUGCUGGGGGGAUUAGUGGCGAACGGGUGAGUAAUACGUGAGUAACCUGCCCUUGACUCUGGGAUAAGCCUGGGAAACCGGGUCUAAUACUGGAUACUACUUCCUGCCGCAUGGUGGGUGGUGGAAAGGGUUUGACUGGUUUUGGAUGGGCUCACGGCCUAUCAGCUUGUUGGUGGGGUAAUGGCUCACCAAGGCGACGACGGGUAGCCGGCCUGAGAGGGUGACCGGCCACACUGGGACUGAGACACGGCCCAGACUCCUACGGGAGGCAGCAGUGGGGAAUAUUGCACAAUGGGCGGAAGCCUGAUGCAGCGACGCCGCGUGAGGGAUGACGGCCUUCGGGUUGUAAACCUCUUUCAGCAGGGAAGAAGCCACAAGUGACGGUACCUGCAGAAGAAGCGCCGGCUAACUACGUGCCAGCAGCCGCGGUAAUACGUAGGGCGCAAGCGUUGUCCGGAAUUAUUGGGCGUAAAGAGCUCGUAGGCGGUUUGUCGCGUCUGCUGUGAAAGCCCGGGGCUCAACCCCGGGUCUGCAGUGGGUACGGGCAGACUAGAGUGCAGUAGGGGAGACUGGAAUUCCUGGUGUAGCGGUGAAAUGCGCAGAUAUCAGGAGGAACACCGAUGGCGAAGGCAGGUCUCUGGGCUGUUACUGACGCUGAGGAGCGAAAGCAUGGGGAGCGAACAGGAUUAGAUACCCUGGUAGUCCAUGCCGUAAACGUUGGGCACUAGGUGUGGGGGACAUUCCACGUUCUCCGCGCCGUAGCUAACGCAUUAAGUGCCCCGCCUGGGGAGUACGGCCGCAAGGCUAAAACUCAAAGGAAUUGACGGGGGCCCGCACAAGCGGCGGAGCAUGCGGAUUAAUUCGAUGCAACGCGAAGAACCUUACCAAGGCUUGACAUCCGCCGGACCGCCCCAGAGAUGGGGUUUCCCUUCGGGGUCGGUGGA
rnacentral:rRNA from 1 species